rnacentral:rRNA from 1 species
CACGUAGGGGGCAAGCGUUGUCCGGAUUUACUGGGCGUAAAGAGCUCGUAGGCGGUUCGAUAAGUCGGGUGUGAAAACUCUGGGCUCAACCCAGAGACGCCACCCGAUACUGUCGUGACUAGAGUCCGGUAGAGGAGUGUGGAAUUCCCGGUGUAGCGGUGAAAUGCGCAGAUAUCGGGAGGAACACCAGUGGCGAAGGCGGCACUCUGGGCCGGAACUGACGCUGAGGAGCGAAAGCGUGGGGAGCAAACAGG